rnacentral:rRNA from 1 species
GACGAACGCUGGCGGCGUGCCUAAUACAUGCAAGUAGGACGCAGUUGCGAACGGGUGAGUAACGCGUAGGUAACUACCUAUUAGAGGGGGAUAACUAUUGGAAACGAUAGCUAAUACCGCAUACUAGUAGAUGGUCCUGCGUUGUAUUAGCUAGUAGGUAGGGUAAUGGCCUACCUAGGCAACGAUACAUAGCCGGGUGUGCGGGGGGAUCCGCAACACUGGGACUGGAGAAAGGCCCAGGCUCCUUCGGGGAGGAGCAGGAGGGGAAUUUCGGCAAAGGGGGGAAACCUGACCGAGCAAAGCCGGGGGGGUGGAGAAAGUUUUCGGGUCGUAAAGGUCUGUUGUGAAGGAAGCGGUACUUAAACAGAAAGGGACGGCUAACUACGUGCCAGCAGCCGCGGUAAUUC